rnacentral:rRNA from 1 species
UACAGGGGGUGCGAGCGUUGUUCGGAAUUACUGGGCGUAAAGAGCGCGCAGGCGGUCGUACAAGUCGCGUGUGAAAGCCCCUGGCUCAACUGGGGAGGGUCACGCGAUACUGUUCGACUUGAAGGCAGGAGAGGGAAGUGGAAUUCCCGGUGUAGUGGUGAAAUGCGUAGAUAUCGGGAGGAACACCAGUGGCGAAGGCGACUACCUGGCCUGUUCUUGACGCUGAGGCGCGAAAGCUAGGGGAGCAAACGGG